AAAACGUGAGAGCGGAACCGCUCGAGGAAUGGAGGCAGGUUUUGCAAGCGUCUGUCUCCCUGGAACGGCAGGCUUACUGAGGAGUCUCUGGGCUCCUUCCAGCUCCAGGCUGGACUUGGCCUCCCCCUUACUGCCUCCAACGUUACCUCUUUUCCCAAAAAUAGGAUUUGGAACUUAUUCCCCAAGUGACAUAAUACAUCUUACAGUCAUGGGCAGGAAGUGGCUGUUUUCCUGCCAGGCCUGUGAGGUCCCCUGGAGAUGAGCUGGGAAGGGUACUCCUCGUCCUGCUUCACAAUAGAACUUCAACGCCUUCAUUUUAAGGCGAUUUUCUUCCAUUUGGAAGCGCAGCGUGCUUUUCCACACUAUGCAGCGAAAGAGACAGGGUCGUCGUCUGGCACCCAGGCUGGAGUGCAGUGGUGCAAUCACAGUUCACUGAAGCCUCGACCUCCCAGGCUCAAGGGAUCCUCCUGCCUCAGCCUCCCGAGUACCCAGGACCACAGGCAUGCGCCACCACGCCUGGCUUUAUUGUAGAUCCAUCCAUGCGAUCAUCGCCGCAAUCAGGAUACAGAUCUGGGCCAGGCUCGAUGACUCAUGCUUGUAAUUCCAGCACUUUGGGAGGCGGAAGUGGGCGGAUCACUUGAGGCCAGGAGUUCAAGACCAGCCUGGGCAACAGCCGUUCAACAACAACAACAACAACAAACUUAACAAACUAGCUGGGUGUGGUAGCUCGCGCCUGUAUUCCCAGCUACUCACUCGGGAGGCUGAGGUGGGAGGAUCACUUGAGCCCGGGAGGUCGAGGCUGCAGUCAGCUGUGAUUGUGCCACUGCACCAGCCUGGGCAACAGAGUGAGACACUGUCUCCCACUUCCUGAAAAAUGAUACAGAUCUGUUCCAUGAUCUCAAAUGCCAGAGAGCCUCCUGCUUCCCUGCUGCAGUCACACCACUCUCCUCCCCCACGAACAUACCAACCCUUGUCAAUCACUAAUCUGUUUUCCAUCUUUACAAUGUUGUCAUUUUGAAAAUGUUACAUAAAUGAAUUCCUAUAGUAUGUGAUCUUUUGAGAUUGGCUUUUAUCGCUCAAUGUAAUGCCCUUGAGAUGCGUCCAAACUGAUGCUCAUAUUGUUUGUUCAUAUUUUUAUUGUUGAGUAGUAUUCCAUGGUAUGGACGUACCAGUUUAAUUUUUUACUUAUUGUAGGACACCUUGGUUGUUUCCUGUUUUUGGUUAUUACGAAUAAAUUGCUGUGAGUAUUCAUGUCUGUGGUUUUGCUGGGACAUAACUUUUUUGAUUGUUUGUUUUGAGACAAUGAAAUCACUCCGUUGCCUAGGCUGCAGUGCAGUGGCAGGAUCACGGCUCACUGCGGCCUCCACCUCCUGGGCUCAAGUGAUCCUACUGCCUUAGCCUCCCGAGUAGCUGGAACUGCAGGCUCAUGCCACCACGUCCAGCUAAUUUUUGUAUUCUUUGUAGAAAUGGGGUCUUGCUGUGUUACCAAGGCUGGUCUCAAACUCCUGGGCUCAAAGGAUCCGCUCACCCCAGCCUCCUAAAGCGCUGGGACUACAGGCAUG
rnacentral:lncRNA from 10 species